AGAUAAGAUAUUAGUAGAAAGGAUAUUCAAAUUCCAAAUAUUAAGAUAUUUAUGAUAUUCUAAAUAUAUUAUUAGAAAUAUAAUCUAAUUUUCACUUUAUUUUUUUUUUAUUAAAAAAUUUAUUAAUUGUAUUUACAUUUCAUUUUCAUAUUGAUAUAUAUUUCUAGAAAUAUUAUCUACUUUCUUUAAUAUAUUUAUAUAUAUUUAGUAUUUUAUAUAUAUAUUCUACCUACUAACACCUAAUAAAUGAAAAAAAUGAUGGAUUUAUCUAGCUUUGGUUUCAAAAUUUAAACUAUAAAAAUAUUUCUAUACUUAAUUACUUUAAAUAUUGGUAGGUUUGGUUUCAAAAGUAAGUAAUGCAAAUUAGGUGGAAAAGGAAUUUCAAAUAUUUGGGUUAAAAAGAAAAAUGCGUGGACGAAUUUUUAAUGCAAGUGAACAUAUAAACCAAAAUUCAUUGCAAAAUGAUCAUAACAAUCCUAAUAAUUUUGGUUGAAUUAGAACAAAAAUAAAGGCUUGAUUCGUUAAGUUUUUUAAAAAUUAAAUCACAAUAAUCAUAAGAAACUCGAAAUCCAACCACUUACCUCCAACCAUACCUUGCUCGAACAUCCCAAAUGCAGUGGGUGAUAGUAUCCAUAGGAAAAAAAUUACCUAAUCGGCAAGUGGGAGUCCAAGCGGCAAGGUCUUUUGGAAGGGGAAAACCGAGUAGGAUUGCAUGUUCACCAAUAACAGUGGUGAACAUGCAAGCGCAAAGGUUUCAGAGGCAAAAUGUAAAACACAGCCGAUCAACGAAACCGACAGAAAACCCAUUUGUUUCGGAGGCAACACGGUGAGCGAAGCCUUCAACGAAAAUUGGGAGGACGAAGAGUGGGAGAGAAAGGAAUUUAGAGGAAGAUAGAUUUUUUACCGAGAAGAAAAUGACGACCAAACCUAAACAGGAAUACGUUGAAGGUGAGUUGACGAAAAAAGGGAAAAGUUUUUUCCAAAAUGAAAGAAAAAUCAAUGUCGUUACAAGGAUUGAAGAGAGGGGAUG
rnacentral:lncRNA from 1 species